UUAAAUUGAAGAGUUUGAUCAUGGCUCAGAUUGAACGCUGGCGGCAGGCCUAACACAUGCAAGUCGAACGGUAACAGGAAGCAGCUUGCUGCUUCGCUGACGAG
rnacentral:rRNA from 19 species